AACGAACGCUGGCGGCAGGCUUAACACAUGCAAGUCGAACGCCCCGCCAGGGGAGUGGCAGACGGGUGAGUAACGCGUGGGAACAUACCCUUUUCUACGGAAUAGCCCUGGGAAACUGGAAUUAAUACCGUAUACGCCCUACGGGGGAAAGAUUUAUCGGGGAAGGAUUGGCCCGCGUUGGAUUAGCUAGUUGGUGGGGUAAAGGCCUACCAAGGCGACGAACCAUAGCUGGUCUGAGAGGAUGAUCAGCCACAUUGGGACUGAGACACGGCCCAAACUCCUACGGGAGGCAGCAGUGGGGAAUAUUGGACAAUGGGCGCGAGCCUGAUCCAGCCAUGCCGCGUGAGUGAUGAAGGCCUUAGGGUUGUAAAGCUCUUUCACCGAUGAAGAUAAUGACGGUAGUCGGAGAAGAAGCCCCGGCUAACUUCGUG
rnacentral:rRNA from 1 species